rnacentral:misc_RNA from 1 species
UGAGCGUGUGCGUAGAGCUUGUGCUAAUAGUUGUGCUGAUUUUCUUUAUGGUUUUCGAGAGACUUCUUCAAAGAAAGGAGCAGAGUAUUGGCUUCUUUGGCGUUUCGAAGGGGAAGCUACACUUGCUGAUUUGAUGCAGAGUAGAGACUUUCCCUACAAUGUAGAAUCAUUGAUCCUUCGAGAGGUUCAGGACUUGCCCAAAGGUUUGGAUAGAGAAAA